GAUGAACGCUGGCGGCGUGCUUAACACAUGCGAGUCGAACGGUGAAGGCGGAGCUUGCUCUGCUGGAUCAGUGGCGAACGGGUGAGUAACACGUGAGCAAUCUGCCCCUGACUCUGGGAUAAGCGCUGGAAACGGCGUCUAAUACUGGAUACGAGCUGCGAAGGCAUCUUCAGCAGCUGGAAAGAAUUUCGGUCAGGGAUGAGCUCGCGGCCUAUCAGCUUGUUGGUGAGGUAAUGGCUCACCAAGGCGUCGACGGGUAGCCGGCCUGAGAGGGUGACCGGCCACACUGGGACUGAGACACGGCCCAGACUCCUACGGGAGGCAGCAGUGGGGAAUAUUGCACAAUGGGCGAAAGCCUGAUGCAGCAACGCCGCGUGAGGGACGACGGCCUUCGGGUUGUAAACCUCUUUUAGCAGUGAAGAAGCGAAAGUGACGGUACCUGCAGAAAAAGCGCCGGCUAACUACGUG
rnacentral:rRNA from 1 species